UGCUGGCAGCCGAGGGGGAAGGAUCCCUGCUGGAAUGAGCAAAAGAGAAGGGGCCAGACUGCAGCAAAUCAGCGACACCAUCCUUCCAUCUCAGAUCCUGGGUUCUCUGGACAGAAAGUCAGUGCAAGGGAAAGUCUCCAUCAGCAAGUGUUGGCCACUUUCAAGAAGUUUCUCUAUCUAGUCAGACAAUAAAAACACAAGAGACUCACCGAGGCAGAUGGGCAUGCCCAGUGCAAAUGAAAUGCUUAGAGAAUUGAAGCACUUCCAACCAGCUGCACACAGCACAUGCAAAUAAUUUGAAUGUGCUUAUAACUUAGUUAAAUGUAAAUUAUUUUUAUGGUAAUAGCAAAAUGCCCUCAGGAGUAUCCCUCUGCUCUAAUGGUCAAGGCCCUGCUCCGAAUGUAUAACCUGCUAGUAUUAUUUUUAAAUGGUUUAAAAAAAAUGGUUAACACUGGCAAAACUUUAUUUUUCACUGGUUGCAUUCUUCAACAUGGAUGAUCUGUUUUUGCAAAAAUCAUCAACAAUAUUAAAUCAGCCUGAGGCAGGCUCUCAGCUUGGAAAAUUUCAGCAGGAAGAGCUAGGGUUGGUAAAGUUAUAAGCAGCUGAAAAAUAGUCAAAAAGUAGGAUAUGUGAAAGAGGGCCUCAGCAGCUUGUCAGCAGCCCAUCCCAAGAAUAGCUGUCCAUGACUUGCUGCUGGGACCUCAACUACUGCAGAAGAGUCCAUGGAAGUCGGCUAAGAAGGAAGAGGUCUCCACAAGGCUUUCUUCACAAAUUUUCAUCUCGGAUAUUGUACUGGAAAAGCCAGUGUUGACAAAUCAGCAGGCUCUUGAAGAAAGUGCACAAACCCCAGGAGAUCUACAGGAAGCUAGAGAGUUGUGUAGGGGACAUGUGCCUGGUAGCCAUGUCUUAUGUAUUUAACAGCAUAGUUCCAAUGGAUCAUGAUAUCAAGAACUUCUUGGAUCUGAUCACCCCAGGGCAUCCACCAGAUUUAAAUCUGUAUUGAAAAUAUGGCUCUACAGGUUGGAUAAAAGUCAUGGAACUAGAGGAGGGGGCAAUGUCUCCACCUCUGGUUCUGCCUGCAUACACUGCAGGACUAACUACUUGAUGUGCCUGCUCCUUCUUCCUUCCUUGAUUUUCACCCCUGCACAAAACUAUUUCCAAGGUCCAAAGAAGGGGUGAUGGAGCUGCAGACAUUUUACCCUCCCCUUCCAUGCAAGGUUGAGUAUGGGUGUUGCGGGGGGAAACAACCUGUCUCUUGGUUCAGAUUUCACUCCCUGUAGUAACCACUCCCCAAAGGGAAUUAAAUACAGUGGGAUGAUUUAUUCACUGUGAAUGUUUCUUAUAGGAACAUAAGACCUGAGCCAUUUAUUUACAGCGUGCCAUCUGAAAAGAGCUAAGAGAACCACCAAGGGCUUUGCUAAUGCCUUGAGUCUGUAGUGGUAGGAAAUAAGUUUGGUGAAUUAAUGACAGAUGAGCCCAGGAAGUGGACCAUGCCUCAGCUUUCCCAAUGGUUUAUGGAAUUAAUCUCAUUACAAAUUUUUUUUUCAUUCAUCUUGUCCUGUCCAGUCCAGUCAAAUAGGUUCUUUUAUCCUAAAUAACCCCAUAGCAUCUUAAUGUUUUCAACAGUGUAUUAUGCAACUUGACUUAGCAACUUCUGUUAUGUAAGAUCUGUUCUUGCUUUCUAUGCCAAAAAGAAAAUUGAGUGCAGUGAGCGAGACAAUCACAGGGCAUCCGCUAGACUUAAAGCAAGGAUCUGUAUUAAGCAUACAUUGCUGCAGGGAGGGUAAGCUCCAUGGAGCUAGACAAAGAAGCAGCAUCUUCUGCCCCCAACCCAGGGAUAGGGAGUGUUUAUUUCAUUUUCUUUUUUAUGGUGUUCACAAUAGUUUAUAUUUCUGUUAGAGCAGAAUCAAAGACAUUUGUACAGUAUUUGUCUUUCAGCAGAAGUUUAGGAAAUUUGUGAUGGUCCUUAGAUCCUGGGGGACCUCAUUCCAAUGCUGGCACUAGCCUCUGAGAAAACUCUACCUCUUGCAUACACAAGGGAUAUCCUUGAGGAGAAUCCAUUGUGCCAAUGGAGUGAAGCUGUUGAUCAUGACUUCACUCCAGAGGAUUUAGCUAGAUGUCCUGGGUUCAUGCCACUGAGUGUCUUGAAGAUAAGAACUGAAACUAGGAGCUUGGUUCACAAAUUCAUGGAAAACCAAUGCAGAGAGGUGACAUGGCAUCUGAUAUGUUCCUGUGUGGCUGGUGAGAUGUGAUGCAUCCCUCUGGUCUGUGGUUUUGUAAAUACUGCAGGCUUUGUGACAAGGUAUAACGCAUUAUUGUAGUCCAGCUAAAAGGUGAUGAAAACAUUAAUAACCAAGGACAGGUCAUCAGCAUUUAAGAUGGGACAGUAUCCCAACCAGUCUGAGAAUGUAGGAAGCCAUACUCACAGAUGUUUUUAUGUGAGAGUCUAUUAUCACAGUGAGGAAUGCUGCACUGGAGACUGAAUGGACUCGUUAUAGCCCUGCCCAAGCACUAGCUCAGCCUCCUAAAGAAGGAGAGAAAGACCCGGCCAGCUUGCAGGCUCUACAGUACCAGUAAGCUUGCCUGCCUGGACACCACUGAAGGGCAGUGCUUGAAGGCAUCCUUUGGCAUUGCCCUUCAGCAGUGACUUAAGGUCUUUCUUUUAACUUUUUGUUAGGAGUCUUGUGAAUUUGUACUGUGUGUGUUGGAGGCAGGGGGAGGAGUUAGAUGUAUUUUAGGGGCAAGGGAGUGAGAACUCUGUAGA